GGAAGUAAAAGUCGUAACAAGGUUUCCGUAGGUGAACCUGCGGAAGGAUCAUUAUCAAACAGCGGACUUCGGUCCUUGCUGCACCCUUGCUUUUGCGUACCGAUUUGUUUCCUCGGCGGGCUUGCCUGCCGAUAGGACAUUAUCAAACCAUUUUGUAGUUGCAAUCAGCGUCAGAAAAAUAUAAUUAUUACAACUUUCAACAACGGAUCUCUUGGUUCUGGCAUCGAUGAAGAACGCAGCGAAAUGCGAAAAGUAGUGUGAAUUGCAGAAUUCAGUGAAUCAUCGAAUCUUUGAACGCACAUUGCGCCCCUUGGUAUUCCAUGGGGCAUGCCUGUUCGAGCGUCAUUUUGUACCCUCAAGCAAUGCUUGGUGUUGGGCGUUUGUCCUGCAGAGGACUCGCCUGAAAGCGAUUGGCGGCCAACGUACUGGUGGUAGAGCGCAGCACAAUUUGCGUCUCUCUCCUGCGCGUUGGCGACCAUGAAGCCUUUUUUCAACGUUUGACCUCGGAUCAGGUAGGGAUACCCGCUGAACUUAAGCAUAUCAAUAAGCGGAGGA
rnacentral:rRNA from 1 species